rnacentral:rRNA from 1 species
AGAGUUUGAUCCUGGCUCAGAAUCAACGCUGGCGGCGUGCCUAACACAUGCAAGUCGAACGAGAAAGGGGAGCAAUCCCUGAGUACAGUGGCGCACGGGUGAGUAACACGUGACUAACCUACCCUGGAGUGGGGAAUAACUGAGGGAAACCUUAGCUAAUACCGCAUAAUACCUACGGGUCAAAGGAGCAAUUCGCUUCAGGAGGGGGUCGCGGCCGAUUAGCUAGUUGGCGGGGUAAUGGCCCACCAAGGCAAUGAUCGGUAUCCGGCCUGAGAGGGCGCACGGACACACUGGAACUGAAACACGGUCCAGACUCCUACGGGAGGCAGCAGUGGGGAAUUUUGCGCAAUGGGGGAAACCCUGACGCAGCAACGCCGCGUGGAGGAUGAAAUCCCUUGGGAUGUAAACUCCUUUCGAUCGGGACGAUUAUGACGGUACCGGAAGAAGAAGCCCCGGCUAACUUCGUGCCAGCAGCCGCGGUAAUACGAGGGGGGCAAGCGUUGUUCGGAAUUAUUGGGCGUAAAGGGAGCGUAGGCGGUUUUGUAAGUCGUGUGUGAAAUCUUCGGGCUCAACCCGAAGUCUGCACACGAAACUGCAGGGCUUGAGUAUGGGAGAGGUGAGUGGAAUUCCUGGUGUAGCGGUGAAAUGCGUAGAUAUCAGGAGGAACACCUGUGGCGAAAGCGGCUCACUGGACCAUUACUGACGCUGAGGCUCGAAAGCUAGGGAGCAAACAGGAUUAGAUACCCUGGUAGCCCUAGCCCUAAACGAUGACUGCUUGGUGUGCCGGGUACCCAAUCCCGCCGUGCCGUAGCUAACGCGUAAGCAGUCCGCCUGGGGAGUACGGU